rnacentral:rRNA from 1 species
AUGGGUUACCUCGACGGCUCGAUCAAGGAACCCGUUGCUGUCAUCGUCACCGAGAAGGAAACCACCGGGAAGAAGGAGAUCACCUCCACGCCGAAUCCAGAGCAUGCGAUCUGGGUCACCCAAGAUCAACAGGUGCUCACCUUUUUGCUUGCCUCCUUGUCCCGCGAGGUUCUGAUGCAAGUCUCCAACCACACCACGGCCGCGGGCAUCUGGCAAGCCCUAGUCGAGAGCUUCUCUGCGCAGUCCAGGGCGCGCCAGAUUCAGCUCCGAUCGGCGAUC